rnacentral:lncRNA from 1 species
CUAAAAUAAAAGCCUUUGCUUGCCUUUGUCCAGGAAUAGACUUCCAAUGGGAGAGAUGCUGAGCUUCAACCAAUCCCUGACAAUCUGUCCAAAUGCAUCAAAUCUGGUGGCUAGAGCAGGUUCAGAUCCAAAAAGGGACAAAAAGCUCCUUCCUUGCUCUAUUCUGCAAUCUCGUUGCACUCAAUUCCUUUGUACCCUGGCACUCAAAGAAGUUGAAUCUCUUCCUAGAGCCAGUUUCACAAUGAAAUGAUGACAUUUCUACACAAGUUUUGAAAUAAAGCAGAAGCUAUCAAGUGCUUUUAAUAUAGUUUGACUAUCUGGUAGGAAUAUAAAUAUAUUUAUAUCCUUUCAAGAUUGAUUUUUAAGAUAUGAGGCUUAGUACAUAAGAAAAGUU